rnacentral:tRNA from 1 species
GCGGGCGUAGCUCAAUGGCAGAGUGCCAGCCUUCCAAGCUGGCCAUGUGGGUUCGAUUCCCAUCGCCCGCUCCA